rnacentral:rRNA from 1 species
AGGUGCCAGCAUACCAGCACUAAUGCACCGGA